GUUGUUGUUCCUUCCGUUUUUGUUUGGGCACGAACUUGAUGGCGGUGCCAUUCCCCUUAUCUCCACCAUGAACAUUCUGCACUA
rnacentral:sRNA from 15 species